rnacentral:rRNA from 1 species
UACAUCGGAACGUGCCCAGUCGUGGGGGAUAACUACUCGAAAGAGUAGCUAAUACCGCAUACGAUCUGAGGAUGAAAGCGGGGGACCUUCGGGCCUCGCGCGAUUGGAGCGGCCGAUGGCAGAUUAGGUAGUUGGUGGGAUAAAAGCUUACCAAGCCGACGAUCUGUAGCUGGUCUGAGAGGACGACCAGCCACACUGGGACUGAGACACGGCCCAG